rnacentral:misc_RNA from 1 species
GAUGAAGAACGUAGCGAAUUGCGAUAAGUAAUGUGAAUUGCAGAUUUUCAGUGAAUCAUUGAAUCUUUGAACGCACCUUGCGCUCCUUGGUAUUCCGAGGAGCAUGCCUGUUUGAGUGUCAUUAAAUUCUCAACCAUUAUCAACUUUUGCUGAUAAUGGCUUGGAUGUGGGGGUCUAUUUUGCUGGCUUCUCAGAUAGUCAGCUCCCCUUAAAUGCAUUAGCCGGUGCCCCGCGUGGACUGUCUAUUGGUGUGAUAAUUAUCUACGCUAUAGACAUCUGCAAUCAUAUGGGUUUGCGCUGCUUCUAACAGUCUGUUGAUUCAGACAAUACAUGACAAUUUGACCUCAAAUCAGGUAGGACUACCCGCUGAACUUAAGCAUAUCAAUAAGCGGAGGA